ACACAUGCAAGUCGAACGAAGUAGCAAUACUGAGUGGCAAACGGGUGAGUAUAAUGUGGGAAUCUGCCUUUUGGUUUGGAAUAACACGGGGAAACUUGUGCUAAUACCGAAUAAGCCCUUACGGGGAAAGUUUUAACGCCGAAAGAUGAGCCUGCACUUGAUUAGCUAGUUGGUAAGGUAAAAGCUUACCAAGGCAACGAUCAAUAGCUGUUCUUAGAGGAAGACCAGCCACAUUGGGACUGAGACACGGCCCAGACUCCUACGGGAGGCAGCAGUGGGGAAUCUUGCACAAUGGGGGAAACCCUGAUGCAGCGAUGCCGCGUGAGUGAAGAAGGCCCUUGGGUUGUAAAGCACUUUCAACGGUGACGAUGAUGACGGUAACCGUAGA
rnacentral:rRNA from 1 species